GUUUGUUGCAUCUGAACCUAACCUGGUGUUCCUUCACAUCCACACACUCGCAGUCAUAGCGAAGGGAGGUGUUUGGAUCGCCGGCGGCGAUGCGGCGGCGGGACCAUGACGCGGCUGAUGCCUUCGACAUCGCUCUCUCCUCCGGCGGAUGGAGCCCUUGAUGUCGUCUUCUCCUCCGGUGGACUUAUAGCCCGGCACAAAGGAGGGUGUAAUGCGAGCCCCUCUCCUCGCCAGCCGCUGCUCCGAUCCAGCCGCCUGCUGUUUUCCCUCUAGCCCUCCUUCCGCCCGCGAACCUCGUCUCGAAGAGGCGAUGCAGUUUGUUAAAUUGGAUUUGUUUGCUGCCCGUAGAGUGCUAGUAGCAGUUGAUUUUCAAAGAAGAGAAGAAUCUCCCCGCAAAAAAAAAAAGAAGAGAAGAAUCUGGAGCGCUCCUGUGUAGCAAGGCUGGCUACACAUGGAGCUAUGAAUCCCACGUGCUUGCUGAUGCUGCUGACUCGUUUGUUUGCUAAUAAAGUGGAUUUGUUUGCUGAUGCUCCCAUGGAUACUUAGUUUAGUUAGAACUUAGACAUAGCAUGUAUCAUCUAUUUGAUGUCAGCUAGUUUUGCUUUUCAUUGGAAUUCCUUAGUUUGGUCAAGAUUAUUCCCUAUUCUGAUUCCGUUGCACAUUUUGUCUAAAAAGAUUUGGAAUUUUGGUAAUAGAUGAAGUAGCAGAAAGUUAUGAUAUGUGCUUUUUGAGUAAUUAGCUGUUUUUUGCGUCCUGAUCUAGUUCAAUAUGUGAGCAAUUUUUUUGCAUUUUUGCGGCCAUAUAGAUCCAUAUUUCUGUCAUUGUUUUCAAUCAAAACUAAAAGGGUAUAUGGCUGUGGGACAAUGACAAAUCUUAGAUGAUUUUGUAGACUAAGAGGUGAAGGAUUCAACCGUCAUUUUGUAAUUUUGUAAGCUAUUAACAGUACAUGGUUUUGUUAUUUUUGUCAGUAAUUAGAAUGCAUCACCUCACAAUUUUAAGUGAAGAGUACUUAGUUUUGUCAGAUUUGUGAAUUUUGUAGUUUUGUCAGCUACUAAACAUGAAUUUGUUAGUUCUUUAAAAAAAAGUCAUAUUUUGUAUUUGGCAGCAUCUCACAUUUUUAAAUUUUGUCAUAUUUGUUUUUGUUUUUGUCAAUUUUUAAAAUUUUGCUACAUAUUUCUAUUGUGUUCCAUAUUUUACUAAAGCUUUGCCCGGUCUAUAAAGCUUUGCUGCAUCUUUGUCUUUGUAUUUGUUUUUGUCUUUGUCUUUGUCUUUGUCAACUUUUAUAAAAUUUAGCUACAUAGUUCUAUUGUUUUUCUCUGUAGGAGUUCAGAGCAAGAGGAGCCUAGGGGCCAUGGCCGACGAUGCCUUUCUAGAGACCCAAGCAAUUCCAAAUGUGCCAAAGUGAGCAAUUCCUAUGUGCUACUUCACAUUGUGCAAACUACAGAGGCAAGACUAUUGUUCAAACUGUUUCUGUUCAAAUGUUUCUGUUCAGACUGUAUCUUUCAGUUUCCGAUAUGCCUGACCAUUUCUAGUAGAAUCUAGAGUUCUACACACUUCCGGUUCUGCUGUAAUUAGCGUUCAACAAAUUGACUCAAGAUUGUAGCAAACACUGCAUACCAUUCAUAUAUCUCCAGAAAAAAUGGCAGCACAUUUUUAGUUAGUACAGUUCUACUAGCUGUAUACAGUUUUGUUAUUUUUGUUUUCUAGUUCAGAUUAAACCUAACUUAUACCUAACAUAGCUUUGUUUUGUGAUCUGCUACGAUAGCAAAAAAACCUCAAGAGCCAUAUGUUUUGCCAA